AGGGGGGAGGGGGAGGAGACAGUCACACACACACUCUAACGGUUUUGUAUUUUUAGGUUGCAUCUUCGGGAAUGGGAAAGAUCUUGUCUUUAGGCUGAGAUCAGAUGUUUUAGAGUGUUUUUGUUUGCCACUCUGGGCUCCUCCUGGAAGGAGGGAAAUGGAAAUGGACUGCCUUCAAGUUGAUCCUGACUUAUGGCUACGCUAUGAAUAGGGAUUUCAUGAAAUCGAAGCAAUAUCACAAAAUGUAUGCUUGCCAAUUCAAGCCAUCAAUAUGUGCAACAGCAGGAAGAUCCAAACCAGUGGAGAGCAUUUACAGACAGAUCAAAGCGGCCUUUUAGCCCAGUGAAUGCUGCCGUCUUAAGUUGUCACAACAUUUGGCUUCUUUUUUUGGAUUCUUCCCGCAUAUACUCCUAAAACCAAAACAAAGAAUCACUUUUUAAUUACAAUGUUAUGUCUUUAAAAUGCCUGUUGUGCAUUACAAGCAAGUAGUAACAAUGCAGACGCAGGGAAGCUGCAGGUAUACUAUCCCUUUGCAGAGCCGUAUCUUUAAAAUAUUGUACUUGUAUAAACACCUUGAAAAUGCCUGUAAAAAGAAACCAAGGCUGUGUGCAAAUGCAGGGCACUCAACAGUAAUCAACACAAAGGAGGCAUUUUUAGCUUCUCCUAUUGCCAGCCAUAAGUAGUAUCUGCUUCUGGGAGGGCUUAAUAAUUGAACAUCAAGGAAGCAGAGCAGGUCCACAUCAAGGUGGCCUUAACAGAACAGGCAACAAGAAUGUUUUGAACUAGGGCCUUCUAUGGCCUAUAGGACAGGGAUGAGGAAUCUCAAGCCCAGGGGCCAAAUGCAGCCCUCCAAACGUCUCUACAUGGCCCGUGGGACUCUCUCCAGGCCACAUCCCUUCUCCCCAGACCAUAGCUCUCAUCGGCCCUGCUUUGCCUCUUCCUUGAGUUUUUUUGCCUGCCUGGGUAGAAUGUCCCUUUGAACUGAUAAUGCUCCUUGCUUGCCUAGAUGGAGGCUAGAGAGGGAUGCGAGAGUAAAUUAACAUGUGCUGCUCCACCCAUUUUGGCUCCUGGCCCCAUCUUUUACUGGCAUGUGGCCCUCUGAAGGUUACCUAGACAGGAAUGCAUUCUGUCAUUGCUAUAGGGGAUUGCUGCCUUCACCUUAAGUGUACCUGACGAAGCUAUAGUAAGCUUGCAAAAAUAAAUCCAGCUCCAGAAAUAUCCUUUUGAGGAAAUUCUCGCUGCCCAACACUGAAACAACAGAAAGCUGUGGCAAAAGUGGAUGGAUCAAGGAGUUGAAAGCCCACUUUUGAGUAACAAGAGACCAUAAGCCCAUGUCGUCAAAGCCCCCGUGACCUUUGGGAGGGAAGCAUCUUGUAUGUUACAUCUUUGAAAACAAAGUUCACCAAGAAUCUUUACUUUUUUCUCACUUGGAAAACAUAGUAAUGGGGAGGAAACCAAGCUUAGUGGUAAGGUCCCACAUUCAGUUCCUGACGGCUCUAGUUAAAAAAGGGAUCAAGUAGAAAGCGAUGUGAAAAGACUUCCGCCUGACAGCAGAAGGAGACAAUGCUAGGCUAGAUGGAACAGAGGAAGUAAGCUUAUGCAGAAUGGGAGCAUUGGGCCAUCUAGCUUAGUAUCAUCCACUCUGACGGGCAGUGGCUCUCCAGGAUUUCAAACAGGGUUCCCUCUCAGCCCCACCUGGAGAUGCCAGGGAUUGAACCUGGGAUCUUCUGCAUGCCAAGGAGAUGCUCUGCCCCUGAGCUACAGCUCCUUCCCCCCCCCAAUAGCCUUGACCUGGAAUAAGACCACUCCCUAUAUUCCAAACACUCACAAAAGGAACAGAUGUUCCUUUUGUCCAGCCUUUGGCAUAAAAUCACCCUAAUGUACCUACCAGUUUGGAUCAUUUGUGCAUGUUAUGCCUUGGGUCUAAUUUCCAGAGACAAUGCUUGAAGAUAAAGGUUACCAACUUUCAAUUAAAAAUAUGAAAAAAAAAAUGAUUAAACGAGUUAAAAAGAACGAUGAAGAAAUACACACGAUGCUCAAAGAAGAAAUAAUGGUAAGGAUAUGGCACAGUUCAGUGGGUUUCCAUAACAUUCUGCCAUCAGAGAACCCUCUCCAUAUCAAUUUGCUUGCCACAAGACUGUCAAUGGACAAGCACUAAACCACUGGCACCCUAUUAAUGUUAAAGCUAAAAGAUCAGAGGGCACGAUGCCAGCCCACCUCAGUUGCUACCACUCUCUCUUUGGGGGGGCUUCACAUCAGGAAAAGGGGGAGUGGGUGACAGGGCAGAGGUUGGCCUCUUCUGUCAUUGGCAGAGCUCUCCAUUUCUGGGCCCAAUUCACAGUGCUAGUUUUGACCUUUAAAGACCCUCCCUCCUAUCUGAUUCCCUUCAGUUAUAUUUGGCAUGGCCAAAAGUUGGGGAUUAUGGGGGUCCAGCAACAUUUGGAGGGCACCAAGCAGGGGAACGCUACCCUACCCCAAGAUUUUCAAUGGAGACUCUUCUCUGGGUGCCCCCGCCAUUUGAGCUACGGGCCUUUCCAGAGGUGAACAGCAAAUUAUGAAAUGCUCUCCCCAGGAAGAUAAGCCGGAAAUCUGCCUUGUCAUCAUUUAUGCACCAUUCAAAUAACUUUGUCUUCCUACACCUUCCAACUCAAUCUGCUCACUUGAAUAUCUAAGAGUUUUUAUGCUGCUUUUAGACUUUGCUUUACUUUAACAUUGUUUGAUUUUAACUGAAUUUUUAGCUUUUCUGAGCUGCCUGGGGAUUUAUCGGAAAGACGGAGUAAAAACCUCAGUGUUCCCUCCCCCCCUUUAGGGAAGGGAAGGUAAAGCAGGCAAAGGAGAACACUGUUAAUGCAAGA